CACAGGAUUAAAAUAUUUAUAUCAGCCUGCUCACUUGAAGACACACAGUCACCAACCGCUUCAGGGCCACUCCUUAGUUUCCCAGUGUCCCUGCUCGGUGCUUCUAGAAACGUGGUCUUUGGACGUUGCGUACUUUCAAAUGCUGGUGAGAGCUGAAAGUAGGGAGCCUGGCACACUCGGUUCUCUAAGUAAUACGAAAUCCCCCCUCGGCCACAGCCACAGGGACGCUGGCCAGCCACGGGGAUCAGGACGGAGCCUGCUGAAGCCUGUUUCCCAAGAGCGGCCAGUGAAACCACGGAGGCCUGACCCAGUUUAAGGCAGCAGCGUACCUCUGGCCAGGAUGGCUGCUGGAAACCAGAGCCCGGCAAGGAGGUCACCAGCCUGGCUGCCAGCAGUUGCUGGAACACAUGAGAUCACAGAUGUAGCUGUUUGCAGCUUGUUGAGUUUCCCUGGAUGCUGCUGGACGAGCGCGUGGGUGCAGAGGCUAUGGACCGCCUGGAAGCCUGCUCUUUCUUAGGGGGCAAUAGCGCCCCACAAUCCGACCCUCACACACUGCCCUGACCCGGCCUUGCACAUGUGUGCCUCUUGAAUUGGAACUUGCACACUCAGAUGUCUGGGAAUCCAUUGUGAAACACGCAUGUGUGCACAUGAGGACACACACACACACACACACACACACAGGGGACCAGGCCCUGGCUUCUCUCCACAGCAGGCACGGAUAUCCCUCUAGCCUCUGGAGAAGCCCGAUUCACAGGGAACCCAAGAACUCUUGGGGCCAGACAUUGGACCCUUGGCCCUGGGACAGUCUGAACUAGCCAGGAUCAGAGCUGACCUUCAUGGGCCAGGGCACCUCUGCCUUCCCAGGCCCUUCCUCCAUAAAUAUUAAAAAUCAUAUUUUAUGACUGCA